AAUUCUUCUCAACUCUGGAUUGGAUUUGUUGUCUGUUCUGGAGGUUGGACUUGGAGUGUGCUGGUUCUCCUUUGCUUGGGCAUUGGGUCAGCUCCUCUUGAAAGCAUCGAGCAGAUGUGAGUUUAUUAUGCCUGCUGGCCUCAGCGUGAUAAGCAUGUUGCGCUGUUGUUGGGAAUGGCAAGUAGGAUCUGCUUUAUAUGGUUGGUCGUCUUCUGGAUGGGAAGCGCGAUCACAACCCUCUCUUUGAAAC
rnacentral:misc_RNA from 1 species